rnacentral:rRNA from 1 species
UACGGAGGGGGCUAGCGUUGUUCGGAAUUACUGGGCGUAAAGCGCACGUAGGCGGCUUUGUAAGUUAGAGGUGAAAGCCCAGGGCUCAACCCUGGAAUUGCCUUUAAGACUGCAUCGCUUGAACAUCGGAGAGGUAAGUGGAAUUCCGAGUGUAGAGGUGAAAUUCGUAGAUAUUCGGAAGAACACCAGUGGCGAAGGCGACUUACUGGACGAUUGUUGACGCUGAGGUGCGAAAGCGUGGGGAGCAAACCGG